rnacentral:rRNA from 1 species
UACGUAGGGUGCGAGCGUUGUCCGGAAUUAUUGGGCGUAAAGAGCUUGUAGGCGGUCUGUCGCGUCUGCUGUGAAAAUCCGGGGCUCAACCCCGGACUUGCAGUGGGUACGGGCAGACUAGAGUGUGGUAGGGGGAGACUGGAAUUCCUGGUGUAGCGGUGAAAUGCGCAGAUAUCAGGAGGAACACCGAUGGCGAAGGCAGGUCUCUGGGCCACUACUG